GUGGGGAAUAUUGGACAAUGGGCGAAAGCCUGAUCCAGCCAUGCCGCGUGAGUGAUGAAGGCCUUAGGGUUGUAAAGCUCUUUCAGUAGGGAAGAUAAUGACGGUACCUACAGAAGAAGCCCCGGCUAACUUCGUGCCAGCAGCCGCGGUAAUACGAAGGGGGCUAGCGUUGUUCGGCUUUACUGGGCGUAAAGCGCACGUAGGCGGAUUGGUCAGUUAGGGGUGAAAUCCCAGAGCUCAACUCUGGAACUGCCCUUAAUACUGCCAAUCUAGAGUACGGAAGAGGUGAGUGGAACUCCUAGUGUAGAGGUGGAAUUCGUAGAUAUUAGGAAGAACACCAGUGGCGAAGGCGGCUCACUGGUCCGGUACUGACGCUGAGGUGCGAAAGCGUGGGGAGCAAACAGGAUUAGAUACCCUAGUAGUCC
rnacentral:rRNA from 1 species